AAUGGACGAAAGUCUGACGCAGCGACGCCGCGUGGGGGAUGAAGGUCUUCGGAUUGUAAACCUCUUUCAGCAGGGAUGAAGCGAAAGUGACAGUACCUGCAGAAGAAGCACCGGCUAACUACGUGCCAGCAGCCGCGGUAAUACGUAGGGUGCAAGCGUUGUCCGGAUUUAUUGGGCGUAAAGAGCUCGUAGGCGGNCUGUCGCGUCGGAUGUGAAAACCCAAUGGCUUAACCUUGGGCCUGCAUUCGAUACGGGCAGACUAGAGUGUGGUAGGGGAAACUGGAACUCCUGGUGUAGCGGUGGAAUGCGCAGAUAUCAGGAAGAACACCGAUGGCGAAGGCAGGUUUCUGGGCCAUAACUGACGCUGAGGAGCGAAAGCGUGGGGAGCAAA
rnacentral:rRNA from 1 species